GCAGAGCUGCGAGAUACUCGGCGCAGGCCUCCUCGCGGUUGAAGCGCUGUUCCAACUCGAGCAAUGUCCUCGGAUAAUCCUCACUCACAAGCCCAGGACACUACAUCUUGGGGUAGGUGGCGUCAAGUAAAUACCCCCUCAUCCCGGAUUAUUGAAGCCGUCGAUAUAGUAACUCACUUCUUCCGGGUCACUAUUGUCUAACCCUGAAAGGAUUCCGACCUUCACGAGUGGCAGGUACUCGCCGUUGUUAUAUAGAGAAUGGAAACCAAAAGGAUAGCCGAUGAAGUAAACUUGUCCCCCAAUAGUCGGACUCUCAGCGGUGAGUUCUGGGUUCCAAUCCAUUGAAGCCUUUUUGUGGAUGUCAAGAACCGCUAUAUCCACGUUUUUGUUUUGGGGAAGUAUGAUAUCGACGUUGAUAUCUCGCCAGUCGGCGGAUCGGUACACCUGUAACUUCGCAUUAUUAGCGGGAAGCCCUGCAACGACAUGUCUCGCGGUCAGCAGGUAUUCUUUAUCUUUGUAAUCGAUCAAAAAGCCUGUACCCGUCGUAUUCCCAUUCUUCAGAUAAAGCACUCGCCCGAGGAGACCCGAAGGCACUCCGUUGCUUUGCGCCGAGCAGAGGAUGGUACAUGCUAUGAAAGCAAGGAACAGCAACGUCGCGCAUGGUUUUAUCACGAGAAAAACCCCCUUAAGGACUCGAAUAGCUCUCAGCCACACCUCGCCUUCCCCACGAUAAUUAGCCGCUCACUUCAUGGGCGGCUGUCCGCUACUUCCAGCCGCAGGCCCUCCGGUGAUGAUCACGAUGGCGGCUUCUUCAGUCAUCACACAAUUCUCCCAGCCAGCUUCGCGUGGUCUGCAUUUGGGCAGAAGAAUGGAUAACAGGCUGAUCGGAGCCAAGAGUUCAUAUCGACGCUCCGGUUUGGCACCUCGAUGUCGGCUCAUCGCAUCCUGGAGCUGUAGAAGGUUCCAAGGGUUAGGCUGUUCGCCUAUUAAAGCGGUACGUGAGCUGGGUUCAGAACGUCGCGAGACAGUUCGGUCCCUAUCUGUUGUGGGCGCAGGAGAUUUGAGAGGACCUGUCCUUAGUACGAGAGGACCGGGAUGGACGAACCUCUUGUGUUCGAGCUGUCAUGCCAAUGGCACCGCUCGGUAGCGAAGUUCGGUAGUGAUAACCGCUGAAUGCAUAUAAGCGGGAAGCACUCCUCAAGAUGAGAUCUCCCAACCCGUAAGGGAUAAGAAGGGCCCAGGAAGACUACCUGGUUGAUAGGCUGGAGGUGGAAGAGUGGCAACACUCGUAGCUUACCAGUACUAAUCGCCCGUUCGGCUUGACCAU
rnacentral:rRNA from 1 species